rnacentral:sRNA from 1 species
UGAAGGCGCCUUCUAACGCCACGCGUUAAGAACUAUAACUAACAGGCCGACAAUGUUGUCGGCCUUUUUUUUGGAUGCA